rnacentral:piRNA from 1 species
UGAGGUGCAUCCAUGCUAGCAGAGU